CCGCUAGGACGCACUCCGUCGCCCCGAAGGGGCUGGGAAAGUGGGCUGCCGGCGAGGUCGGGGAGCAGGUGGCGCGCCGCCCUCCCCGCGGCCCACGAGGGAGCCCUCGGAGGAGCCCUCGGAGGCUGUCGCUUGCUCUGCCAGGCCCGGCGCCUCAGCGCUGAGCGGAGAGCGGGAAGGGCCGUCGCCGCUCCAGGCCACGGGUCGGGCUCUUCAGCGCCUCAACCUGGCGGCGGGCCCUGAGCUGGGCCGGAGGCGCCUAGGAAGCUUGAGCGGAGCCGGGCCACGGAACGGGCCGUGAGCGCCGUCUGGGGAGGUUGGGAAGACGUGCGUGCAGACGCGAUGCUGGUGGACGCAGAAAGGCUGUGGGACCUCUUGGGUGUGACACUGUGUAAAAGGGGACCCAGCUGACCUCGAAAGGGCCCUGUGUCAGGGGACCCCGAGUGUCCAGAGCCAAGGACCACGCCGGGCUCCACGAUUUGCUAGGAGGACUCACAAGACCAGCGGACACUUGGACUCAGGUUAGGGACCUAAAUCUGGCCGCUCAGCACAUCACAGGUCAAUCAACAGACAGGAAGGUGGGUCUGUUUGAGAAGCUGACUGCCCGAAGUCCCUCUUGCCAGGAGGCCGGUUUAGGGGUGGUUUAUGUGGGAGGUGAGUAACGGAGCUUUGAGGCUCAGGGCCCGUCAUAUCCUAAUCACCUAGUCACAAGAUGCUCUUCACUUCUGCAGAUCUCAAGAUGAAAGAUCAGCAUUUCCUGGGGCCAUCUUGUUACUCGCUCAUUGAGUAGUUUUCAGUUCCUGACAUUACACUAUGGACAGGCUGGGGAGCUGAUCACUAGAUUCACUAGAAUGCAAGAAAACUGCCAGGCAUGGUGGUUCUCACCUGUAGUCCCAGCGACGUGGGAGGGCUAAGGCAGGAGAAUCACAAGUUUGAGACCAGCCUCAGCGAUUUAGCAAGGUCCUCAUAACUUAGGGAGACCCUGUCUCAAAAAAUAAGGGCUGGGGAUGUGGCUCAGUGAUAGAGUGCCUUUGGGUUUAAUCCCUUGUAUCCCCGCCCCCCACCAAAAUAAAGAAGUCAAACAGUUUGCCUGACUAUUGUAGAAGAGGAGGGCCAGGCCAGGUCAGGUAGGGAGGUGGACAAGACAUCUGGGCUCAGUGCUCAGGUUCAUGUGAUUUAUCACAGAAGGAUGAAAAGCAAAAUCUGCAAAGGGAAAAAAAGGUGCUUGGAGUGGGGGGCAGCCAGGUGGGAGCCCACUUGAGACCUCUGGGUGGAAUCACAUGGGAUGCUCCUGAUCUCCCAGAAGUGAGUUGUGACAACUUGUGUGAAAUGUUGCCAACUAGGGAAUCUUGUUAGAGACCAGUGCCUAAGGGUUUUAUCAAGAUCUAGUCACGUAGCAACUUCUUGGCACAUACCAAAAUGUCAGACUCCCAGCAGGAAAGCAGGUAUUCAUCAUAAGCCAUAUUGUUUGUAUGGAUUAGGCAAUGAUACCCUCUUCUCAGAAUGUGGGAACUCUCCCGAAAUCCAGGCUCCCCAAAAGCAGGCCUUUCAAAGAGCAGCAGUCAGAUAAAAUAUUUUGUUUUGUAUGCUGAACAAUUUUGUAUUAUAGCAAAAAAAAAAAAGCCAUAAAUUAUGUGCAAAUGAAUGUAGCUGUGUUCAAUUACAGUUUUACUUAUUUAAUUUUUAGUACUGGGGAUUGAACCCAGGAGCACUUAACCAUGGAACCACAUUCCCAGCCCUUUUUGAGACAGGAUCCCAAGACUGGCCUCCAGCUUGCGAUCCUCCUGCUUCAGCCUCCUGAGGCACAUUCCUAUAAUCCCAGCAACUCAGGAGGCUGAAGCAGGAAUAUUGCAAGUUCCAGGUAAGCCUUGGCAACUUAGUGAAACCUUGUCUCACAGUAGAAUAUAAAAAGGGCUUGGGCCGGUGCUGUGGCACACACCUGUAAUCUCAGUUGCUCAGGAAGCUGAGGCAGGAGGAUUGCAAGUUCAAAGCCAACCUCAGCAAAAGUGAGGUGCUAAGCAACUCAGUGAGACCUUGUCUCUAAAUGAAAUACAAAAUAGGGCUGGGGAUGUAGCUCAGUGGCUGAGCGCUCCUGGGUUCAAUCUCUGGUACCAGUUAAAAAAAAAAAAAAGAAAGGUAUAAUAAAUGCACAAUGAUUCCUCUGCAGGAAACUGUUAGGUAGUAUUAAUGAGCAGCGAAAUGCAAAUUAAUAACAUAAGUAGGGUCACCAGUAUUCUUCAAAUUGCUUUUAAGACUAAUGAAUAAUUGAGUUACUUACAGAAAAACAACAGGUGUUCUAACACUGAGAGUAAACAGGUGGACACAAAGGAGCCAAUUGAGAAAUGUGGAAAGGAAAGAUCAGUGGGGCUGACUCAUGAUGGGCUAACUGGGAUCACUGCGUAGUUAGGAUUGAUGGCCUGAGGUUCCUUGGUGCACAUUAGAGGAGACAGUUCUCCAGUAACACCAGUGAGCUAAGAUAAAGUUGAUCUGGUCACCGAGCACAGCAGCUACAUUAACAGGAUUGACUUGCAGAUGAGUCCCCACCAUAAUCACCAUGACAGUUCCUGAAAGAACCCACCCCCACCAUGUGGAGGAGGAGGUAAACAUGCUGGGUAAAGACUGUAGAAGGUGAUGUCAGUUCCUAGGGCAAACGUAGAACUGUAAUAAAUUUAUUGUUCUCUGCUCGGAGAUGACCCACUUUCUCUUGAGGGUGUUCUUUGUUUGAGCCCUAUUUUACUUUCACUUCUUGCUUGGCCUUUCCUGUCUGCCAUUAAAUUUCCUUUUGUGGGAACAAAAGAACUGAGGCUUGGGGCAUCAGCUUGCCACUUGACUGUGACAGAACCAUCCAGUAUGGGUAUUGAAAUUAGUGGGGUGGAGUGCUUGCCUAGCAUGCAUGCAGCCCUGGGUUCCAUCCUCAGCACCACAAAAAAUAAAUACAUGAAAUUUUUAGUGGGUAAAAGUAUGAAAACGUGUGCCAGGUUUCCAAGGACUUACAACAAAGGGAAAGCAAUAUCUUUCCAAUAAAGAGAUCAGAAGACACCCCCUCAUGAAGUGACCAAGGCAUGGCCAGAGCUAAGACAUCAAUGUUCUUAGGAUGCCCUAAGAAAUAUUCCUCAAAAUGACUGAAACUUUCCCAGUUCCUCUCAAACAGAGUGCUGUGUGGGAGAAGCCUGGACCAGAAAAAGGGCCUCUGGUGGGGUGCUGGGAGAAGGCGAGGGGUCACAGACCAGUCACUGGCACAGAACCACUGUGCUGGCUUCCUGCUUUGGGUUACCGUACCAUCUGUAAAUUGUGUAAGAUGUAAGCCUUUGGGGACACAGGAAGAGCUGGCAGGAGCUCUGUGUUUUUCCCCAGUCCUUAGGAUGAAACCCAAGACCUCUACUACCGAACUACAUACAUCCCUGAUCCUUUUUAUUUUAUUUUGAGUCAGGGUCUUGUUGAGUCUAAGCCCUUGUCCUGAAGUGGUGGGAAAACAGAAUUGGGGCCAGAUCUGAAAGAAGGUUAGAAGUUCAGAAUCAAGGGUUAACCAAUAGCACUGGUACUUUUCCAAGCACUGAUGGGCAUAAUUUGGACCACCAGCAUUAACCCAAGAGCUAUGUAAGUCCCUGGACUAGCACACUCAGAAGACAACUUGUAAUAGGGUCCCUUCUCACCCUCUUUUAUUUUCAUGUGAAUAAAUCCUAGUCCUUUUACUCCUGCCUUCCAUUACUGUCUGUGGAUUUCAUUCUUUGAAUUUGCAAGACCCAAAAAGAAACUGUCCAUGAGCUGCUGGGGUCGACUGUGACACCGAGGCAUAGCCCAUCACUAAGAGCUGCCACACACCACUGGAUAGUAGUGGGGAGGAGUCCAGCUGCACCCUCUGAGCUGACUGUGAUUCACUGCUAACACUAAAGCGGGCUUUCUCCAUUGCAGAGGCCUGCAGGUGAUGCACACCCCACCCACCAGCAGAAGCAGAGAAUCUAGUUUCACCUCAAACUCCAGUUUCAUCUCUGUGUUGCCCAGACUGGCCUGGGACUUGUAAUCCUCCUGCCCCAGCUUCCUGAGUCACUCGGAUUCCAGGUUGAACCACUGUACCUGGCUUCUGCACUAUUUUUAAAAAUUAUUUCAGAAUAAAAGAUUUUGAAGAUUGUAAAAAGGAGAUAAUCUGACAAUAAUUUGAUUAAGGCAAUAAUUUUACAAAUUCACAGACACUACAUUUUGCUAUCAGCUCCCACAGGCAGGGAUUUUUGUUUGUUUCCUGCAACCAGAACACUGCCUCACUGAUGAGUGUGUAAAAAAACUGCCUGCUGGGUCUCAGCAAGCACAGAAGGGUGCACACUGUCCCACAAAUAAUAAACUCCAACAUCUGGUCUCCCUGCAACAUCACAGUGACCCACUUCCUGACCUGAGGUUGUCCUGUUGUCCUCUAGAGUGUCAACACUCCAUGAUCAGGGGCCCUGUGGUUUCUAAGCCUUGGUCUUUCAACUCCAGGCUCAACUUGAUGAAAACAUGCCAGUCCAGGUGUGCAUAUGACAUCCUUAAAAGCACAGCUUAACUCCCAUGCUCGGGAACAUAUAUGUGACGAACAGGGAGGAAGUACCAUUUCUGGGGCUGCUGUGACAAUCACCACAGACCUGCUGGCUCAACACAGCAGGAACUCCUUCUCACGUUCUGGAAGCCUGAAGUCCAGGGUCCAGCUGACAGGCUGCCUGGGGCGUGCCCCCUGAGGGCUCCAGGCUCCUUGGCUUUGGCUGCCGCAAUCAUGCUCCAGUCUCCGCCUGUCUGCACUGGGCCUUCUCCCUCUGUCCAACCUCACCAGCCAUUCUUUCUUUGUGUCCUCUCCUCUUAUUAGAACACCACCAUUGGACUCAGGGCCCCCCCUGGUCCAGCAGGAUCUCCUCUUAACUAAUUACAUCUGCAAAGACCUUAUUUCUGUGCCCAUGAAAAGUCUGCCACUGCCACCGAAUACAGCUAACAGCUCAGGAGACAGAUGGAUGGAGAAGAAAGAGCCUGACGGGCAGCAAGCCACAGGUGGGGGUGGAGGGCUGUCCCCAGACUCUGUCUCUCCCAGACUGCAGGUGCAGAGGCUGGGAUGGGGCUCCUGGGGACCCAUUUUUACCACAGCUGGUGGCACCAGCAUGGUCAUUGAUCCUUGCAGGAAUCAAUUCUCUUACUGUGGCUGCGAUGCUGUCUCCAGGUCACCUGGCAUUCUGGGCGUUCCUGUUCCUCUAAACACGAAGGGAAGAUGACCACCGAGGCGGGCGGGUGGCUACCGCUCAGCGGUGCCCUUCCUCCCGCUUCUCUUCAGUCAGGUCCUUGAGGAUGAACAGUGCAAGUUGACUUGCUAGUGCCAGCACCAGUCAACCUCUCACCAACUUCACUUCCAAAGCGAGGUCACACUCGCGGAUCCUGCGUGGAUGUAACAUUUUGGCGAACACCAUCUCGUCCACUCCAGGUGUGGGAAAGGAAGACAGACAAUGCCCACUGCACUCGGAAAGGCCCACUGUGUGCCCAGGACGUCAGGCACGCCUUCACGGAACCUAGAAACCUUCUGCGAGGGAGGUGCCAUGCUGACCCUUUGGCAGAUGGACAUAGAAGCUUCCAGGUCAAGCACCGGGUCCAGGGCAUGAGUGAGAAGGCACAGCACGAGUCCCAGCAAGUCCUAGUACCUGUGGGUGUGGCACCCUAGGCUCCAGCCAGGACACAUCCCGAGCUGGGAUGUGGUGCCCCUGCGGGAUCUCCCUCCACCCCUUAUUACAGGACAUGGGGAAGGGGCUUCCCAGGGCCUGAAAGAACAAAGCCUAGGUGUUCAUUCAUAAUUUUCUAUGUAUAGAAUUUAAAAAUACUUUAAUCACACCGUAGUGCUAAUUUUAUGAACUUCUUUCACUACAUCGAGCAUGUUCCCACAACAUCACUGACUUCUCAAAAUGCAAAACAUUCUAAAAUAAAACAACUUUUUUUCCUAAAAGAAUUUUUUUUUUUUUGGUCCUGUGGGGGUGCUCCUGGGUUGCUUCUGGUCUGGUCCACUUCUCGGUGCUUUUUUAUUUUUUCUUUUGAGGCAGGUCUCACUAAAUUGAUGAGGCUGACAUUGAAUUGAGAUCCUUCUGCCUCAGUCUCCCAAGCUGCUGGGAUUACAGGCAUGCACCAAUGCACCUGGCUCAAAAGUUUGUUGUUGUUUUUUUUUUUUAAAAGUUUUUUUUUUCCUUGCUGGGCAUGAUGGCACACUCCUGUAAUCCUCAGGAGCCUGAGGAAGGAGGAUCACAAGUUUGAGGCCAGCUUCAGCAACUAGUGAGACCCUAAGCAACUUAGAAAACUCUGUCUCAAAAUAAAAAGUAAAAAGGGCUGGGGAUGAGGCUCUGUGGUAGAGUGCCCCUGGGUUCAAUCCCCAGUACCCCAAGAAUACAUUCAGAAAGAUACAGAAAAUUGCAGAGGUGAGUUUUAAACUGCCUGUCCCACCCCCCAGGAUGGCUAAUGUGAAGUCUAUGCCCUUCAGUUCUACAGGCAUCUAUCCGAACCCCUGGAGUCUCCAGGGGAAGGGCCCAGGAACCCGCAUGGCAUUUGCACCCACAUGCUGUCCUGUGAGUACUCCCUGGUAACUACAGUGCUCCUUGCUGUGGGAGGAGCCUGGGUACUGCAGUUGCUUCCACUUUCUGUGAGGGCCAUGUUUAUUGAUAAAUCUUCUAUGCAGCCAUUAAUUUUCCUGUGAUAAUUGUUUGACUUGACAACUUUAAUUUUGAAGUCUUGUUUUCUUAUUUCCUAAGUGUGUAGGUGUCAAGUACUUUCCAGCCCCUGCUCUGUAGCAGACGUGGAGGUGGGAGCAGACAUCACUCCCUCCUACCAACACAGGGCAGCUGGCUCCCUGGCAGAGCCGGUGGGAACCUACAGCCCUGCCUUGUUCCUGCCUUGUUUCCACAGCUGUUACCUCCCACUUGUAAAACGUGGGCACCUGGGGCACAGCGAGGAACCGGCUGUCUGUCCACAGGGGAAUCCCCAAAAGCACCCAGGGAGACAGGGAGACAGAAGGUGGUCAGGGCAAGAACAGCAGGUAUGCCCCCAAAGUGGGGUCCCAGCGAACGCUUCUAAGCUCAGCAAACUCUGCUACCACUAGGAAGUAGGAGUGGCCUCUGUGUUGCCCUUGACUUACCCUCAUCUUUGUGAGCUCCCCGUCCUUUCAGAGAUGGCCGGCUUAGAGGGGCCCAUCUCAGAGGCAAAGCCACAACCUGCCCCACGUGAGUAUCCCAGAGCAGCAGGCUCAGGGUGGACUCCUAUGCUUUGGUUGCCCCCCUCACCGGCACCUGACCUCUGUUCUGCUGUUUCCCUUGAAACGGGUGAGUUGUACAUUAAUAAAGGCCCAGCUGUUCAAACUGUCAACGUUUCUUUCUCUCCCAACCAGUUUCAGACUGGGAUUCAACUGGUACGAAUUCUGAUGACGAUGUUUUUGAUGGGAACUGGGAAAGGUAGAUGAGUCACUAGCACAGGAGUGCUAACAAAAGGUGGAUUCGCCUGGGGCAGGGCGGACUGUGAGACUCUCAGAGAAACAAAUGAAUAAAUACGGCUGGGAUCCACCCUGGGAAAGCAGGGGUUUCACAGGCGAGACUUCAAAAUAGUUUGACUUCAAGAUCUUGAUCUUUCCAAAUACAGACUUCAAAUGUAAGUCAUGCUCAGGCUCUUGUGGUGGGGCCAGGGUGACUCUGGUGGGGAGACAGGAGAUUCAUUCUUUCCCGGCUCCUGUAGAUGAAAAACAGUGGCACCAAGGAAAGAGGUACAAAUAUUUCCAGAAUAUAAGUAUUUCCAGAGCGUCCCACAGAAAACCCAGCAAAACUCAGUGCAUACACAAGCAACAGUGACGAUGACAAGGCUCACAGCUCCUCUGGAGCUCACUGUGUCCGGGUGCUAAUUCACUCACUUGGUCCUUUAGAGAGCCUUUGGGACUGGUUAUGUGUCAUCCCCACAGAAAGGUCCAGCAAGCAGUCCCACACCACACAGCAGGGACCAGGGCUGCAUCCAUACCCUGGCAGGUGGGCUCAGAGCCAGCCCUCUGUGGCUCACGUACAUCUGGGUGCGCCCACACCUGCAGCAAUACGACCCAGAGCAGACCACAAAUGGCCAGAAAACCCACUGACCGACCAGGUACAAGCCAGACGACAGCCCUGCUGGUAGCAGGGCAGUUCCUCUGGGGGUUAUCCCUACAGAGCCCCCCACCCCUUUG
rnacentral:lncRNA from 1 species